AAAUGUGACCAUUUUUGUUUCUUUCCUCCCUAAAGAACCUGACAAACCCAUCAAGAAAAUUCCAGCUGGUGCCAUUUCGAUAUUUCCAGACAACAACCUCUUCAGUCCAAUGGGUGACUAUAUGGCGGGCAGAGAGAAUGGAG